GAGCACCGGAGCCCGACUGGGCUGAAUGGCAGGUCCUGACCAAGCCACCCGCGCGGCCCCGCCCGCCUGGCGGGAUGAGUGACGGCGGCAACAGUCUUCGGAAGUCGCCCGUCAACCGGCUUCUUCCACCUCAGUAAAGCCUUAAGGUCACCUCAACCUCUCGAAACCCACCAGUCCCAGAGGCCGAAUCUUCUCAAGUGGAGGAGAGGGGAAGGCGUGCAUGGAGCUUUGCCUGACCGCUCGCUCUCUCCUCCCCAGCCGUCUGAGAGAAGGCGAGAGGGGUCCCAGAACCGAGCCCUCGCUCCGCACGCCCCACGCCCGCCCCGCUGUGCCGUGCGCUCUGCCCCUGAGACGCCCCGGCUCGGAGUCCCAGGGCCACAGCGGAAACUCGCCCGCCCGCGCCCCUCUCCGGCUUGCGGCGCCCGCCCGCACCGCCACCUGCCACCCGAGGCGACGCAGUCCGCUUCUCCCCACCCGCCAGGUGGCAGGUUCAGGGCCCGGGUCCGAGCCUGCUCCCCUGCAGCUGCCACCGCCAUCCUCGCCGCCAGGGGGCGAGAGUCCCAGGCAGGACAAG
rnacentral:sRNA from 1 species